rnacentral:rRNA from 2 species
UGGGGAAUUUUGCACAAUGGGGGAAACCCUGAUGCAGCGACGCCGCGUGAUUUAGAAGGCCUUCGGGUUGUAAAAAUCUUUUCUAUGGGAAGAAAAUGACAGUACCAUAGGAAUAAGGACCGGCUAAUUACGUGCCAGCAGCCGCGGUAAUACGUAAGGUCCGAGCGUUGUCCGGAAUCAUUGGGCGUAAAGGGUACGUAGGCGGGUAAGCAAGUUAGAAGUGAAAUCCUAUAGCUCAACUAUAGUAAGCUUUUAAAACUGCUAAUCUUGAGGUAUGGAAGGGAAAGUGGAAUUCCUAGUGUAGCGGUGAAAUGCGCAGAUAUUAGGAGGAAUACCGGUGGCGAAGGCGACUUUCUGGCCAUAACCUGACGCUGAGGUACGAAAGCGUGGGUAGCAAACAGG